rnacentral:rRNA from 2 species
UCGAACGAUGACUUUUGUGCUUGCACAGAAUGAUUAGUGGUAAACGGGUGAGUAACACGUGAGUAACCUGCCCCUGACUCUGGGAUAAGCCUGGGAAACUGGGUCUAAUACUGGAUAUGCACCGUAGACCGCAUGGUUUUUGGUGGAAAGAAUUUUGGUCAGGGAUGGACUCGCGGCCUAUCAGCUUGUUGGUGAGGUAAUGGCUCACCAAGGCGACGACGGGUAGCCGGCCUGAGAGGGUGACCGGCCACACUGGGACUGAGACACGGCCCAGACUCCUACGGGAGGCAGCAGUGGGGAAUAUUGCACAAUGGGCGAAAGCCUGAUGCAGCGACGCCGCGUGAGGGAUGACGGCCUUCGGGUUGUAAACCUCUUUCAGUAGGGAAGAAGCGAAAGUGACGGUACCUGCAGAAGAAGCGCCGGCUAACUACGUGCCAGCAGCCGCGGUAAUACGUAGGGCGCAAGCGUUAUCCGGAAUUAUUGGGCGUAAAGAGCUCGUAGGCGGUUUGUCGCGUCUGCCGUGAAAGUCCGAGGCUCAACUUCGGAUCUGCGGUGGGUACGGGCAGACUAGAGUGAUGUAGGGGAGACUGGAAUUCCUGGUGUAGCGGUGAAAUGCGCAGAUAUCAGGAGGAACACCGAUGGCGAAGGCAGGUCUCUGGGCAUCUACUGACGCUGAGGAGCGAAAGCAUGGGGAGCGAACAGGAUUAGAUACCCUGGUAGUCCAUGCCGUAAACGUUGGGCACUAGGUGUGGGGGACAUUCCACGUUUUCCGCGCCGUAGCUAACGCAUUAAGUGCCCCGCCUGGGGAGUACGGCCGCAAGGCUAAAACUCAAAGGAAUUGACGGGGGCCCGCACAAGCGGCGGAGCAUGCGGAUUAUUUCGAUGCA